rnacentral:rRNA from 1 species
UACGAAGGGGGCUAGCGUUGUUCGGAAUUACUGGGCGUAAAGGGCGCGUAGGCGGUGUGUCAAGUCAGGCGUGAAAGCCCCGGGCUCAACCUGGGAACCGCGCUUGAGACUGGCACGCUCGAGUUCGGGAGAGGAUGGUGGAAUUCCCAGUGUAGAGGUGAAAUUCGUAGAUAUUGGGUGGAACACCGGUGGCGAAAGCGGCUCUCUGGUCCGGACCUGACGCUGAGGCGCGAAAGCGUGGGGAGCAAACAGG